CACCCACUCACUGGUGAGCUCCGCAAGAGUGUACUUCUCUCCGUCCCUGGAGCGCCACGGCGUGCUGGUGCAUAGUAAGCAUCUGUCCAUGUCUGUCCAGUUGAAUUUCUUGAGAGUCAUUUGACCUUCUCAGCAGCUCUGGAGAACCCACAUUGACCAGAGACUUUGCAGCCAGCUCACCCCUCCAAAUCCCCGCCCUGGAGUCCCUGACCCAGGAAUUUCUGCAUCAGGCUGCUCAAACCUGAAUUUGACAAAAUUUCAAAGCGCUGUAUCUUUAUGUUGAUAAGACAACGGAUAAAGUGCCAUACUUGGAACCUAGAUCACUCAAUGUUGCCUGUAGCUGAGUCCACUUCUGUCACUCACCCUGCAUUGCCCUGCCAGGAGCAAGGGAGAGAAAGCCAGCCAGAAGGCAUGGGCAUGGGCUCAAAUCUGGCUUCUCCUGUGGCCACUGUGAAAGUUGAUCAUACAAAGGUCACUGUUGUCAUAGCCAAGCAGAGUUAUGAGACCACAGGAAAAAGCACUUGGACCACGUAACAUUGCUCCAAGAGUAUAACUGUCUCCAACCCUGGCUGCUGGAACAAGUGUUGCAACCUGAAACCGGUUUGAUCUAAUAGCUACAGAAACAACCUGCGGAAAUCUAAGACUAGUUUCACCCACUCACCAAUCAGAGCUUGCCGGAUCCCCAAAACGUUGCUAGUGCUAAUGAACUUGCUUUCCUAACAAUCCAUAACAUUUCUCAUUUUUAUGAAACCUACAACCUUCUCUUUGCUCUUUGGACAUACUGAAGACCACCCAGUCUGUGUGUAUGCCCCAAACUGAAAUUCUUGCUCCCCAAAUAAAACAUUUUAAACUUAGAGAUUUGUCUGUAUAUUUUAUUUGACUUUGACAGCACCAGGGGCUCCGGCACAAAUCUCCUCCUUCAAGCCCUUUUCUACACAGUCCCGUGGGUCUACCCUGAAAGAAGCCUGAUGACGGCUCAAAGACACAAUGUUACUGGGAGGUAAAUUCAGGAUUACUUGACCGAAUGGCCCACCCGAGGUCACGGAGGCUGCUGGAGGAACAGAAAAUGGUCUUCACCAAGUGAAGCAUUGUCGGUCUUGGCCUGUGUCUGGCUGGAGAAUGUUAAAAUUCUGGGGACACAACAGAAAAGGCACAGUUGUGGGGACCAGGCCAAUGUCAGCGUGAGAACUGGCUCCAUCCCCCUCCCAUGAACCAGCUCUGCGGCCAAGGCAGGUCUGCAUUUCCUGGUCUGUGACACGGAGUCAGUAACAUUGCCUACUUCCCGGGGCUAUUUCCAGAGAAGUGAGGGAAUGGGUGUGGAACGCCUGCCAUCUGCGGAGCCCCGCAUGAAACGUCUCUGUCUUUCCAGCCAGCCCUGAGCCAGGGAAGGGACUGGAAGCACAGCGGGUGGCUGAGGCGGGCUUUCGGCAGCUUACCCCCAGCCUUGCCCCUCCCCGCCUGCUGAAACACAAUCUAUGGUUGUCGCCUUCCUGGAGAUGUUAGCCGCCCCCUCCAGAGGUGGUUCCAAAUCUAUUUCUCAUUUGGCUGAUUUAGGAGAGGCUGCGAAUCGGUCGCUAUGGUUUCUUUAUUUUCUCCUGACAGCUUAGGAAUCAUUUUUCCAAUUAUUCCCAGGGGAGGAAAAAGAAGUGGAGGAAGCCAGUGUUUGGAAUGAGGGGAAGCUCACGGAUCUGAAAUGCAACCUCUUCUGCAGGAGACCCGGCACAGCUACCGGGACCCAUCACCUCCCUGUAGGAACCCCGCCCAGCCCCCUCCAGCCAGCCCUGCGUGGUUGUGGCCCCACUGCAGAAACGCCUCCGCUUAACACUCCAGCCUCUCUUCUAUUCGGUCAGGCCACAGCUGCUGACUUUGUGCCUGCUGUAGCAACCCCGAGCCCCCAAAUAAACCCUCCCUCCCAGGGUGGCCUCUCUACGGGGGGAGACAGACGGU
rnacentral:lncRNA from 10 species